ACCAGAUAACUGGAAGACGGAUCCUUUUCAAUUAAGUGUUGUUUAGUUAUUUUUAGAUGAAAGAUAAAAACUAGAGUUAACAAAGAACAACACAAGAGAUUUAUACUGGUUCACCCAAACAAGGGCUAGUCCAGUCCCGACCAACUGUCGGAAUUCACUCGCCUAAAGGUUAUGGCAAAACCUUAGAGUAUCAAGGAAACUCUUAAGAACCUCUCUAAGCUUUAAGGCUAUUUCGUUUAGGAACUAGUCUUUUACGGGUAGACUCACACCUUAGAGUAUCAAGGGCACUCUUAAGAACCUCUAACUUUUGCGGGUAAGUUAGUACCUUAGAGUAUCAAGGAACUCUUAAAAACCUCUAUAAGCUUUAAGGCUACUUCGCUUAGGAACCAGUCUUUUACGGGUAGACUCACACCUUAGAGUAUCAAGGGCACUCUUAAGAACCUCUAACUUUUGCGGGUAAGUUAGUACCUUAGAAUAUCAAGGAACUCUUAAAAACCU
rnacentral:lncRNA from 1 species